rnacentral:tRNA from 1 species
GCAGUGGGGGUUCAGUGGUAGAAUUCUCACCUUUCAUGUGGGAGACGUGGGUUGGGUUCCUGGCUAAUGCA